CAAGGGUAGUAGCAGAUGAGAUCGGCAGCAACCCAGUGCAAUCGCGACGACCGGCUGGAGCACGUGCUGAACGUAGCAGUUCUAUCUAAAAGUGCGAAUCUACUUUUCAUGUGUAUAUUUUAUAUAUAUGUAUAUAUAUUAAAUUAUUCCAUAUUUAAAUUUAGAAUAAACAACUAUUUUAAAUUUCGUCAAUUUAUGGGUUUUAUGAAGACUGUUGUCUCCAUUUACUCACAAAGACAUAAUUUUUAAUCAUAAUUGUAAUUAUGAUUUGUGAUUUAUGAAAAAUAUUUUUGCUUUAAAAGAAAACAUUUAAUAAUUAUCUAUGAACCCCCAGCGACAUCAAAUUGUGCCUGAAAGAUCUACUAAUAGAGAGCAAGGUCCAUCUACGUCGUUAUUACAGCCCGAAUCUUUUGAAAAUCCUUCACUUCAGGAAGCAACAUCUAUUAGUGAUGAUCCAAAUGGACCAGAUUCGAAAACUAUGACUAAUGAUUCAGAUGCAGGUUGUAAUUGUUCAGAUGAUCCCCUCAAAUACAGAUGUUGGACCAUGAGAAUGGCUUCGGAAAACAAUCCAGCACCUUGUAUGGAAAUAGUUGAUGGUGUAAAGAAAACGUUAAAAACGCUUUUUGAAAUGACAGCUACUACUAAAUCUCGAUGUCGUAAAACUCGAAAGUCAUGUGAUUGUUGUUAAAUUUGUAUGCUUUAAAGGUUAUUUUAUUACUGAAAGUUUUGUCGGUAAUAGAAUAAUUUUUAAUUAAAUAAUUAUAUUACAGUACUUAAAUGCUAUCAAUAUUUGUCUUUAGAUUUGUAGACAUUUACAUAUCUUUUAUAAUUUAAUUCA